GACGAAGGGGGCUAGCGUUGUUCGGAAUUACUGGGCGUAAAGCGCGUGUAGGCGGUUGCCGAAGGCGGGUGUGAAAGCCUUGAGCUCAACUCAAGAAAUGCACAGGAAACUAGCGGGCUUGAGUUCGGGAGAGGGAAGCGGAAUUCCGGGUGUAGCGGUGAAAUGCGUAGAUAUCCGGAGGAACACCGGUGGCGACGGCGGCUUCCUGGACCGACACUGACGCUGAGGCGCGAAAGCUAGGGGAGCAAACGGG
rnacentral:rRNA from 1 species